UCAUCUCGGAGGGGGCUCGCGUUUUCACACAAAACCCCCCUUUUAAAAGUGUAGAAUGACCUCAUUUAUGCGCUAACCCGCAAUCAAUACAACUUUCAACAACGGAUCUCUUGGCUCUCGCAUCGAUGAAGAACGCAGCGAAAUGCGAUACGUAAUGUGAAUUGCAGAAUUCAGUGAAUCAUCGAAUCUUUGAACGCACCUUGCGCCCCCUGGUAUUCCGAGGGGCACACCCGUUUGAGUGUCGUGAAAACCUCAACCUCCUUGGUUUCUUCUGGAGACCAAAGCAGGCUUGGACUUUGGAGGUCUUUGCUGGCACCUCUCGCCAGCUCCUCUUAAAUGAAUUAGCAGGGUCCUCUUUGCUGAUCCUCGACGUGUGAUAAGAUGUUUCCAUGUCUUGGUUUCUGGCUCUGUCACCUUUGGGACCCGCUUCUAACCGUCUUCAACCUUGCGUUGAGACAACGUUCGAGCAUGUCUCCCUUCUCGGGAAGCUCCCUCGACCCCACGAACCCUUGACCUCAAAUCGGGUGAGACUACCCGCUGAACUUAAGCA
rnacentral:misc_RNA from 1 species